rfam:Ipomoea nil DNA, scaffold: scaffold0824, cultivar: Tokyo-kokei standard.
GCCCGUCUAGCUCAGUCGGUAGAGCGCAAGGCUCUUAACCUUGUGGUCCUGGGUUCAAGUCGCAGGGUGGGCG